GCACGGCUGCUCCUCACAGAGAGCUCUCAGCAGAGCUCUCUGCAGCGCUGGAUACACUGCAGGCAGCAGAGGGAGCUACUGAGUAUGUGCAGCAGCAGCACCGCUCACAUGGACUCCGGCAGUGACAAUCUCCACCAGCUCCUCUUCUCUCUUGAACAGAAAAUGGCAAGCGCUCUUCCUACCACCGGCAUUCUUCCGCAAUUUAUGGAGAAGCAAUAAUACAACCAGUAUCCUGUUCAUCUACUGAAAAACGUGCCAUGGGUUUAUUAUGGAAAGCCCAUUUUUCCCUGCAAAUUUGCCAUGCUGGGGAAGCCGGCUGAAGAAGGAAUGCAGCAGCUGACACUUGUAAAAAAAACAAUAUUUAAAUAAAUACAGUGCACACAACUGAAUGUGGAAACCAUUUAUUAAAAAAAUCACUCCCAUGAA